rnacentral:snoRNA from 1 species
AUCCUUUUGUGGUUCAUAAGUAUGAUGAAUGGGUUUUCAUGCAUUUUUGUGAGAUGUGCCUCCCUCAAACCUUGUCAUGAUAUAGGCACAUUACCUGUCUGAAG